rnacentral:rRNA from 1 species
UACGAAGGGGGCUAGCGUUGCUCGGAAUCACUGGGCGUAAAGGGUGCGUAGGCGGGUCUUUUAAGUCAGGGGUGAAAUCCUGGAGCUCAACUCCAGAACUGCCUUUGAUACUGAAGAUCUUGAGUUCGGGAGAGGUGAGUGGAACUGCGAGUGUAGAGGUGAAAUUCGUAGAUAUUCGCAAGAACACCAGUGGCGAAGGCGGCUCACUGGCCCGAUACUGACGCUGAGGCACGAA